UACGUAGGGCGCAAGCGUUGUCCGGAAUUAUUGGGCGUAAAGAGCUCGUAGGCGGCUUGUCACGUCUGCUGUGAAAUCCCGGGGCUCAACCCCGGGCGUGCAGUGGAUACGGGCUGGCUAGAGGCAGGCAGGGGAGAACGGAAUUCCCGGUGUAGCGGUGAAAUGCGCAGAUAUCGGGAGGAACACCGGUGGCGAAGGCGGUUCUCUGGGCCGAUACUGACGCUGAGGAGCGAAAGCGUGGGGAGCGAACAGG
rnacentral:rRNA from 1 species